rnacentral:rRNA from 1 species
AACGAACGCUGGCGGCAGGCCUAACACAUGCAAGUCGAGCGCACCUUCGGGUGAGCGGCGGACGGGUUAGUAACGCGUGGGAACGUGCCCUUCUGUACGGAAUAGCCUCUGGAAACGGAGAGUAAUACCGUAUACGCCCUUUGGGGGAAAGAUUUAUCGGAGAAGGAUCGGCCCGCGUUAGAUUAGGUAGUUGGUGGGGUAACGGCCUACCAAGCCUACGAUCUAUAGCUGGUUUUAGAGGAUGAUCAGCAACACUGGGACUGAGACACGGCCCAGACUCCUACGGGAGGCAGCAGUGGGGAAUCUUAGACAAUGGGGGCAACCCUGAUCUAGCCAUGCCGCGUGAGUGAUGAAGGCCUUAGGGUCGUAAAGCUCUUUCGCCUGUGAUGAUAAUGACAGUAGCAGGUAAAGAAACCCCGGCUAACUCCGUG